GUCCAGCGCCGCGGUAAUACCGGCAGCCCGAGUGAUGGCCGAUCUUAUUGGGCCUAAAGCGUCCGUAGCUGGCUGCGCAAGUCCGUCGGGAAAUCCACUCGCCCAACGAGUGGGCGUCCGACGGAAACUGCACAGCUUGGGACCGGAAGGCUCGAAGGGUACGUUCGGGGUAGGAGUGAAAUCCUGUAAUCCUGGACGGACCGCCGGUGGCGAAAGCGCCUCGGGAAGACGGACCCGACAGUGAGGGACGAAAGCUGGGAUCUCGAACCGGAUUAGAAACCCGAGUAGUCC
rnacentral:rRNA from 1 species